rnacentral:lncRNA from 1 species
UUCAAGUGACUAAUGAUCAAAACCAAACUGUAUUCAAAACAAGAAAUUCCCUUUAAAGUCCCUACACUUAACCAUUUUCAAGUGAUUAAGUAUCAAAACUUAACCACAUUCAAAAUAUAAAAUCUCCUUUAAUGUCCCUACACUUAACCAUUUUCAAGUAACUAACUACGAAAACCAAACAACAUUCAUAAUAAAAAAUUCCAUUU